GACGAACGUUGGCGGCGUGCUUAACACAUGCAAGUCGAACGGAAAGGCCCUGCUUUUGUGGGGUGCUCGAGUGGCGAACGGGUGAGUAACACGUGAGUAACCUGCCCUUGACUUUGGGAUAACUUCAGGAAACUGGGGCUAAUACCGGAUAGGAGCUCCUGCUGCAUGGUGGGGGUUGGAAAGUUUCGGCGGUUGGGGAUGGACUCGCGGCUUAUCAGCUUGUUGGUGGGGUAGUGGCUUACCAAGGCUUUGACGGGUAGCCGGCCUGAGAGGGUGACCGGCCACAUUGGGACUGAGAUACGGCCCAGACUCCUACGGGAGGCAGCAGUGGGGAAUAUUGCACAAUGGGCGGAAGCCUGAUGCAGCAACGCCGCGUGCGGGAUGACGGCCUUCGGGUUGUAAACCGCUUUCGCCUGUGACGAAGCGUGAGUGACGGUAAUGGGUAAAGAAGCACCGGCUAACUACGUGCCAGCAGCCGCGGUGAUACGUAGGGUGCGAGCGUUGUCCGGAUUUAUUGGGCGUAAAGGGCUCGUAGGUGGUUGAUCGCGUCGGAAGUGUAAUCUUGGGGCUUAACCCUGAGCGUGCUUUCGAUACGGGUUGACUUGAGGAAGGUAGGGGAGAAUGGAAUUCCUGGUGGAGCGGUGGAAUGCGCAGAUAUCAGGAGGAACACCAGUGGCGAAGGCGGUUCUCUGGGCCUUUCCUGACGCUGAGGAGCGAAAGCGUGGGGAGCGAACAGGCUUAGAUACCCUGGUAGUCCACGCUGUAAACGGUGGGUACUAGGUGUGGGGUCCAUUCCACGGGUUCCGUGCCGUAGCUAACGCUUUAAGUACCCCGCCUGGGGAGUACGGCCGCAGGGCUAAAACUCAAAGGAAUUGACGGGGCCCCGCACAAGCGGCGGAGCAUGCGGAUUAAUUCGAUGCAACGCGUAGAACCUUACCUGGGUUUGACAUGGAUCGGGAGUGCUCAGAGAUGGGUGUGCCUCUUUUGGGGUCGGUUCACAGGUGGUGCAUGGCUGUCGUCAGCUCGUGUCGUGAGAUGUUGGGUUAAGUCCCGCAACGAGCGCAACCCUUGUUCACUGUUGCCAGCACGUUAUGGUGGGGACUCAGUGGAGACCGCCGGGGUCAACUCGGAGGAAGGUGGGGAUGACGUCAAGUCAUCAUGCCCCUUAUGUCCAGGGCUUCACGCAUGCUACAAUGGCUGGUACAGAGAGUGGCGAGCCUGUGAGGGUGAGCGAAUCUCGGAAAGCCGGUCUCAGUUCGGAUUGGGGUCUGCAACUCGACCUCAUGAAGUCGGAGUCGCUAGUAAUCGCAGAUCAGCAACGCUGCGGUGAAUACGUUCCCGGGGCU
rnacentral:rRNA from 1 species